AGAAAGUUAGUCUAACUAAGACGGUUGAUUUCGGC
rnacentral:tRNA from 1 species